GCUUAACACAUGCAAGUCGAACGCUGAAGCUUGGUGCUUGCACUGGGUGGAUGAGUGGCGAACGGGUGAGUAAUACGUGAGUAACCUGCCCUUGACUCUGGGAUAAGCCUGGGAAACUGGGUCUAAUACUGGAUAUGACCUCCUGUCGCAUGGUGGGGGGUGGAAAGGGUUUGUACUGGUUGUGGAUGGGCUCACGGCCUAUCAGCUUGUUGGUGGGGUAAUGGCCUACCAAGGCGACGACGGGUAGCCGGCCUGAGAGGGUGACCGGCCACACUGGGACUGAGACACGGCCCAGACUCCUACGGGAGGCAGCAGUGGGGAAUAUUGCACAAUGGGCGCAAGCCUGAUGCAGCGACGCCGCGUGAGGGAUGACGGCCUUCGGGUUGUAAACCUCUUUCAGCACGGAAGAAGCGAAAGUGACGGUACGUGCAGAAGAAGCGCCGGCUAACUACGUGCCAGCAGCCGCGGUAAUACGUAGGGCGCAAGCGUUGUCCGGAAUUAUUGGGCGUAAAGAGCUCGUAGGCGGUUUGUCGCGUCUGCUGUGAAAGCCCGGGGCUUAACCCCGGGUGUGCAGUGGGUACGGGCAGACUUGAGUGCAGUAGGGGAGACUGGAACUCCUGGUGUAGCGGUGAAAUGCGCAGAUAUCAGGAAGAACACCGAUGGCGAAGGCAGGUCUCUGGGCUGUUACUGACGCUGAGGAGCGAAAGCAUGGGGAGCGAACAGGAUUAGAUACCCUGGUAGUCCAUGCCGUAAACGUUGGGCACUAGGUGUGGGGGACAUUCC
rnacentral:rRNA from 1 species